AAUCAUGAAUUUAAGCUUCAUUUAAGCUCAAUUUUUUCUACGUCAUUCCCCGAUUUUACACAAGACGCCUCACACCUCGUACACAAACCCACAAACACACGCACCCGUUUUCAAGAACACCUCAGAGAGCAUAUUAAGAGAUGGCAGAAGCAGAUGAUAUUCAGCCUCUUGUAUGUGACAAUGGAACAGGAAUGGUCAAGGCUGGAUUUGCUGGAGAUGAUGCUCCGAGGGCUGUCUUCCCCAGUAUUGUGGGGCGCCCACGUCACACUGGUGUCAUGGUAGGCAUGGGCCAAAAAGAUGCCUAUGUUGGUGAUGAGGCUCAAUCCAAGAGAGGUAUUCUGACUCUGAAAUAUCCAAUUGAGCACGGAAUUGUCAGCAAUUGGGAUGACAUGGAGAAAAUUUGGCAUCAUACCUUCUACAAUGAACUUCGUGUGGCUCCAGAAGAACAUCCUAUUCUGUUGACAGAAGCUCCUCUUAACCCCAAGGCCAAUCGUGAAAAAAUGACUCAAAUCAUGUUUGAGACUUUUAACACUCCGGCUAUGUAUGUCGCCAUUCAAGCUGUUCUUUCCCUUUAUGCCAGUGGUCGUACAACUGGAAUCGUUCUGGACUCUGGGGAUGGUGUUAGCCAUACAGUCCCCAUCUAUGAAGGUUAUGCACUCCCCCAUGCAAUCCUGCGUCUUGAUCUAGCUGGGCGUGAUCUCACUGAUGCCCUCAUGAAGAUACUGACAGAGCGAGGCUACUCUUUCACCACAUCUGCCGAGCGUGAAAUUGUUAGGGACAUAAAAGAGAAACUAGCUUACAUUGCUCUGGACUAUGAACAAGAGCUAGAAACUGCAAAAACCAGCUCGUCUGUGGAGAAGAACUAUGAACUGCCUGAUGGACAGGUGAUCACUAUUGGUGCCGAGCGAUUCCGCUGCCCUGAAGUACUUUUCCAGCCAUCAAUGAUUGGGAUGGAAGCUCCUGGCAUACAUGAAACUACUUAUAACUCUAUCAUGAAGUGCGAUGUUGAUAUUAGGAAGGAUCUGUAUGGAAACAUUGUCCUCAGUGGUGGUUCAACAAUGUUCGGUGGAAUUGCUGAUAGGAUGAGCAAGGAGAUUACUGCAUUAGCUCCAAGCAGCAUGAAGAUUAAGGUGGUGGCUCCUCCUGAGAGGAAGUAUAGUGUCUGGAUUGGA